rnacentral:rRNA from 1 species
CCUACGGGUGACAGCAGUGGGGAAUAUUGCGCAAUGGGCGAAAGCCUGACGCAGCGACGCCGCGUGAGGGAUGAAGGUCUUCGGAUCGUAAACCUCUGUCAGCAGGGAAGAACGGUCACUGUGCUAAUCAGCAGUGAAUUGACGGUACCUGCACAGGAAGCACCGGCUAACUCCGUGCCAGCAGCCGCGGUAAUACGGAGGGUGCGAGCGUUAAUCGGAAUUACUGGGCGUAAGGCGCUCGUAGGCGGUAUGUCAAGUCAAGGGUGAAAUCCCCGCGCUCAACGUGGGAACUGCCUUUGAAACUGGCAAACUGGAGUGUGUGAGAGGAUAGUGGAAUUCCAGGUGUAGGAGUGAAAGCCGUAGAUAUCUGGAGGAACAUCAGUGGCGAAGGCGACUAUCUGGCACAUAACUGACGCUGAGGAGCGAAAGCGUGGGUAGCAAACAGGAUUAGAUACCCUUGUAGUC